GGACUACCCGGGUUUCUAAUCCUGUUUGCUCCCCACGCUUUCGCGCAUCAGCGUCAGAACCGGUCCAGGUAGCCGCCUUCGCCACCGGUGUUCCUCCCAAUAUCUACGCAUUUCACCGCUACACUGGGAAUUCCGCUACCCCCUCCCGGCCUCGAGCCAGACAGUUUCAAAGGCAAUUCCUCAGUUGAGCCGAGGGAUUUCACCUUUGACUUAUCAAGCCGCCUACGCGCCCUUUACGCCCAAUAAUUCCGAAUAACGCUCGCCCCCUCCGUAUUACCGCGGCGGCUGGCAC
rnacentral:rRNA from 1 species